GAAUGCUGACAUAAGUAACGAUAAAGCGGGUGAAAAGCCCGCUCGCCGGAAGACCAAGGGUUCCUGUCCAACGUUAAUCGGGGCAGGGUGAGUCGACCCCUAAGGCGAGGCCGAAAGGCGUAGUCGAUGGGAAACGGGUUAAUAUUCCCGUACUUGGUGUUACUGCGAAGGGGGGACGGAGAAGGCUAUGUUGGCCGGGCGACGGUUGUCCCGGUUUAAGCGUGUAGGUGUGUGUUCCAGGUAAAUCCGGUUCACUUUAACACUGAGGCGUGACGACGAGGCACUACGGUGCUGAAGCAACAAAUGCCCUGCUUCCAGGAAAAGCCUCUAAGCAUCAGGUAACAUCAAAUCGUACCCCAAACCGACACAGGUGGUCAGGUAGAGAAUACCAAGGCGCUUGAGAGAACUCGGGUGAAGGAACUAGGCAAAAUGGUGCCGUAACUUCGGGAGAAGGCACGCUGACACGUAGGUGAAGUGAUUUACUCAUGGAGCUGAAGUCAGUCGAAGAUACCAGCUGGCUGCAACUGUUUAUUAAAAACACAGCACUGUGCAAACACGAAAGUGGACGUAUACGGUGUGACGCCUGCCCGGUGCCGGAAGGUUAAUUGAUGGGGUCAGCGCAAGCGAAGCUCCUGAUCGAAGCCCCGGUAAACGGCGGCCGUAACUAUAACGGUCCUAAGGUAGCGAAAUUCCUUGUCGGGUAAGUUCCGACCUGCACGAAUGGCGUAAUGAUGGCCAGGCUGUCUCCACCCGAGACUCAGUGAAAUUGAACUCGCUGUGAAGAUGCAGUGUACCCGCGGCAAGACGGAAAGACCCCGUGAACCUUUACUAUAGCUUGACACUGAACAUUGAGCCUUGAUGUGUAGGAUAGGUGGGAGGCUUUGAAGUGUGGACGCCAGUCUGCAUGGAGCCGACCUUGAAAUACCACCCUUUAAUGUUUGAUGUUCUAACGUGGACCCGUUACCCGGGUUGCGGACAGUGUCUGGUGGGUAGUUUGACUGGGGCGGUCUCCUCCUAAAGAGUAACGGAGGAGCACGAAGGUUGGCUAAUCCUGGUCGGACAUCAGGAGGUUAGUGCAAUGGCAU
rnacentral:rRNA from 1 species